rnacentral:snoRNA from 12 species
UUUAGAAGCCAAUGAUGUGUUUAUUCAAAAUGUCUGAACCUGUCUGAAGCAUCCCAGUGAUGCUACCUCUGUGUGGUGCUGAGGUUUCUCUGCCA